rnacentral:rRNA from 1 species
GAUGAACGCUAGCUACAGGCUUAACACAUGCAAGUCGAGGGGAAACGGCAUUGAGUGCUUGCACUCUUUGGACGUCGACCGGCGCACGGGUGAGUAACGCGUAUCCAACCUUCCCAUUACUGUGGGAUAACCUGCCGAAAGGCAGACUAAUACCGCAUAGUCUUCGAUGACGGCAUCAGAUUUGAAGUAAAGAUUUAUCGGUAAUGGAUGGGGAUGCGUCUGAUUAGCUUGUUGGCGGGGUAACGGCCCACCAAGGCUACGAUCAGUAGGGGUUCUGAGGGGAAGGUCCCCCACAUUGGAACUGAGACACGGUCCAAACUCCUACGGGAGGCAGCAGUGAGGAAUAUUGGUCAAUGGACGGAAGUCUGAACCAGCCAAGUAGCGUGCAGGAUGACGGCCCUAUGGGUUGUAAACUGCUUUUGUAUGGGGAUAAAGUUAGGGACGUGUCCCUAUUUGCAGGUACCAUACGAAUAAGGACCGGCUAAUUCCGUG